rnacentral:rRNA from 1 species
GACGAACGCUGGCGGCGUGCUUAACACAUGCAAGUCGAACGGAAAGGCCCUGCUUUUGUGGGGUGCUCGAGUGGCGAACGGGUGAGUAACACGUGAGUAACCUGCCCUUGACUUUGGGAUAACUUCAGGAAACUGGGGCUAAUACCGGAUAGGAGCUCCUGCUGCAUGGUGGGGGUUGGAAAGUUUCGGCGGUUGGGGAUGGACUCGCGGCUUAUCAGCUUGUUGGUGGGGUAGUGGCUUACCAAGGCUUUGACGGGUAGCCGGCCUGAGAGGGUGACCGGCCACAUUGGGACUGAGAUACGGCCCAGACUCCUACGGGAGGCAGCAGUGUGGAAUAUUACACAAUGGGCGGGAGCCUGAUGCAGCAACGCCGCGUGCGGGAUGACGGCCUUCGGGUUGUAACCCGCUUUCGCCUGUGACGAAGCGUGAGUGACGGUAAUGGGUAAAGAAGCACCGGCUAACUACGUG